GACAGAGGCCUCGAGCGUUAGGCGGAAUCACUGGGCUUAAAGCGUGUGUAGGCGGGCCCCGUAAGUGUCUUGUGAAAUCCCACGGCUCAACCGUGGAACUGCUGGGCAUACUGCGGGUCUUGGGCCAACUAGGGGCAGCCGGAACAAGCGGAUGGAGCGGUGAAAUGCGUAGAUAUCAGGGAGGAACACCGGUGGCGAAGGCGGGUCUCUG
rnacentral:rRNA from 1 species